GUACCCAUAGCUCAGCUGGAUAGAGCAUCAGAUUGCGGUUCUGAAGGCCGGUGGUUCGAAUCCACUUGGGUACG
rnacentral:tRNA from 1 species